CUCUCUCCCUCUCCCUUUCACCCUCUCUCCUUCUCUCUCUGUCUCUCUCCCCCUCUCUAUUUCCCCCUCCUGAUCUCUCCCCAUCUCUCAGUGUCCUGUUGUCCAGUUUCAGGGGACAUUAUGACUUCAUAUUUCAGGGGAAGCUUGUUAAGGGAAGCAGAAGAGAGUUCAGCCUUAAAUCUUCUCCAUAAUUCAUGGACACUGCUCUACAGAUGCCAAACCAGGAGGGGGUUUCUGUGCGGCUUUGCUCUGGUGAAUCAUGGACAUGAGGGAGCUGAAUUUUCCAGGAGAAAGGGUUUGAGGAGGUGUUACGCAAUGCUCUGUUUAAUGUGGGAUCUUCCUGGAAAUCUAUGGGAUCAUGACUGACUGAAGGAGACCUGACACAUUCCCAACUCCCUCAGGAGUGUGUCUGUUCUCAUGAAAUAGCUCCGCAGAAGACGCAGCUGGUCCUCUGGUAUUGAAUACACUCUUCUCUUCUGGGGAAAUCCCCCCCCCCGACCUUUAACCCCUGGCAGAAUGCAGAGGCCCAGCACCCCACUCACGCUGCAGCCAGAGGGAAAUGAUAAAGUUGCAUAAACAUGACGCACCGUUUGGGGAUGCUGUCUGAAGCCUAUCCUUUUUGGAGCGCAUUGGUUAUUUUUUUUGUUAUGACUCCAGUUAUGGGAACAUGGUGACUGACAUCACUGCAUGUGCCGUAUAGAUGAUGCGGCUGCUGACUGCAUCAGAAUCAGCACUAGUACACGGCACAACUGCAUAUCCAUCUGCCCUGGAAGAAUCCUUCACCUUCUCUUAUAAGCGAUUAAAACAAAGCUCCUGUUGCUCCACACUGCUCAGAACCAGACGCUGAGGCCCCUCCAGCUGAUCUCUCUGAACUGACUUUCACAGACAAACCCAACUCAACCGGCUGCAUACUGCCACCUGCGGGUGAAUUGAGGGACUGCUGUGACACCAAACUCCAGACUUAUGAAUGCACCUGUACGUCAGGGGACCUGGAAAGCUCCAGUGGCUGUGGUGGUCGGUUUCCUUCAAAUCAAGAGCAAAUUAAUAAAAUUAAAUUAAGUGCUAAAACCCAUAUUGUACGUAUGUAUCUUGUAUGUGUGUAUGUGUAUUGAUGCACCAAAGCUCUCUUCAGCUCUCUGCAUUACAACAUGUGUAGAAAAGGGGAAUAAAAUACAUUAUUAUUAUUAUUAUUAUUAUUAUUAUUAUUAUUCAUAAUAAUGAUAAUAAUAAUAAUGGCAUCUUCUCUUAAAUCUGUUCGGCAGAAGUUUUGCUCAGCUUGUCUUUCCUGACAUUGACUGGUUGCAGGUUCAAGGCUCCAGUGCAGGGCUGCAUCACAGCUCCAGUGCAGCGCUGCAUCACAGCUCCAGUGCAGGGCCGCAUCACAGCUCCAGUUCAGCACCGCAUCACAGCUCCAGUGCAUGCUCUUGUCAGACAGCAGUCACCACAGGCAGCUCCAGACUAACAGCCGCAGACAGACAACCCCAGACAGACAGCCCCAGAUGGACAGCUCCAGACAGACAGCCCCAGAUGGACAGCCCCAGAUGAACAGCCCCAGAUGAGCAGCCCCAGACGAACAGCCCCAGAUGAGCAGCCUCAGAUGGACAGCCCCAGACGGACAGCCAUGGGCACCACAGGGCUAGAGGCACUAACAGCAGGAGGCAGAAGCAGGGAGGCUUGUGUCAGCAUUGAGUCAGUUAUGUUUGCGUUACGCACACUCACAAAAAAACAGAACUAGAGGAAGGAAGCAGGAGACAGGGCCUGGGGGAAGUGGCCUCUGUGUUUAUCACGCAAAGUGACAAAACCCACAGCCAUGACGUCAUCAGGCUCGUGGCGAAAAGAGAAGAAGAGCGAGUAACAGGAGAGACCCAGGGGUCCUGAUCCUUGAGAACCUAGAGAGCAGGCCUGUCUCCCCCUCACUUCAGGGCCCAUUGGCUGAGGGUGGCUGGUGCUGAUAGGAGAUCAGGUGGUGAAAUGGUGUUUCACCGGAGCCCUUCUGUCUGAGGCAGUCCCCUGUGCACAUACACCCCCUACAGGCCACAGAAGUGAACUUCACUAGGUAAGUGGGGGAUGCUUGCAUUAGCAUGACUGAUACCAAAGUGAUCCCAAUAAAGAC